UAGUCCACGCCGUAAACGAUGAGUACUAGCUUUCGGGGGUAUUGACUCCUUCGGAGGCGCAGCUAACGCAUUAAGUACUCCGCCUGGGAAGUACGGUCGCAAGACUAAAACUCAAAGGAAUUGACGGGGGCCCGCACAAGCGGUGGAUUAUGUGGUUUAAUUCGAAGCAACGCGCGGAACCUUACCUGGGCUUAAAUGUAGACUGACGUUUCGGGAAACCGGAAUUCUCUUCGGAGCAGGCUACAAGGUGCUGCAUGGUUGUCGUCAGCUCGUGCCGUGAGGUGUCGGGUUAAGUCCCAUAACGAGCGCAACCCCUAUUGUUAGUUGCUAGCAGGUAAUGCUGAGGACUCUAACGAGACUGCCGGUGUAAACCGCGAGGAAGGUGGGGAUGACGUCAAAUCAGCACGGCCCUUAUGUCCAGGGCUACACACGUGUUACAAUGGCCAGUACAGAAGGCAGCUACCUGGUGACAGGACGCUAAUCCCAAAAACUGGUCUCAGUUCGGAUCGAAGUCUGCAAUUCGACUUCGU
rnacentral:rRNA from 1 species